UGGGGAAUUUUCCGCAAUGGGCGCAAGCCUGACGGAGCAAUACCGCGUGAGGGAGGAAGGCUUUUGGGUUGUAAACCUCUUUUCUCAAGGAAGAAGCACUGACGGUACUUGAGGAAUCAGCAUCGGCUAACUCCGUGCCAGCAGCCGCGGUAAUACGGAGGAUGCAAGCGUUAUUCGGAAUCACUGGGCGUAAAGGGCGCGUAGGCGGCUGUUUAAGUCGAGGGUGAAAGCCCGGGGCUCAACCCCGGAACGGCCUUCGAGACUGGGCAGCUCGAGACCGGAAGAGGAGGGUGGAAUACCCAGUGUAGAGGUGAAAUUCGUAGAUAUUGGGUGGAACACCAGUGGCGAAAGCGGCUCUCUGGUCCGGAUCUGACGCUGAGGCGCGAAAGCGUGGGGAGCAAACAGGAUUAGAUACCCCCGUAGUCC
rnacentral:rRNA from 1 species